CUGAGAGGAUGACCAGCCACACUGGAACUGAGACACGGUCCAGACUCCUACGGGAGGCAGCAGUGGGGAAUAUUGCACAAUGGGCGCAAGCCUGAUGCAGCCAUGCCGCGUGUAUGAAGAAGGCCUUCGGGUUGUAAAGUACUUUCAGCGGGGAGGAAGGGAGUAAAGUUAAUACCUUUGCUCAUUGACGUUACCCGCAGAAGAAGCACCGGCUAACUCCGUGCCAGCAGCCGCGGUAAUACGGAGGGUGCAAGCGUUAAUCGGAAUUACUGGGCGUAAAGCGCACGCAGGCGGUUUGUUAAGUCAGAUGUGAAAUCCCCGGGCUCAACCUGGGAACUGCAUCUG
rnacentral:rRNA from 1 species